AUUGAACGCUGGCGGCAUGCUUUACACAUGCAAGUCGAACGGCAGCGCGGGCUUCGGCCUGGCGGCGAGUGGCGAACGGGUGAGUAAUACAUCGGAACGUGCCCAGUAGUGGGGGAUAGCUCGGCGAAAGCCGGAUUAAUACCGCAUACGACCUGAGGGUGAAAGCGGGGGAUCUUCGGACCUCGCGCCAUUGGAGCGGCCGAUGGCAGAUUCGCUAGUUGGUGGGGUAAAGGCCUACCAAGGCGACGAUCUGUAGCUGGUCUGAGAGGACGACCAGCCACACUGGGACUGAGACACGGCCCAGACUCCUACGGGAGGCAGCAGUGGGGAAUUUUGGACAAUGGGCGAAAGCCUGAUCCAGCAAUGCCGCGUGUGUGAUGAAGGCCUUCGGGUUGUAAAGCACUUUUGGCGGGAACGAAAAGGACUGUGCCAAUACCACGGUUCGAUGACGGUACCCGCAGAAUAAGCACCGGCUAACUACGUG
rnacentral:rRNA from 1 species